AACGAACGCUGGCGGCAUGCCUAACACAUGCAAGUCGAACGGGACCUUCUGGUCUAGUUGCGCACCGGUGCGUAACGCGUGGGAACCUUCCCUUAGGUUCGGAAUCACUCCCCGAAAGGGGUUCUAAUACCGCAUAAUGUUGUCGGACCAAAGAUUUAUCGCCCUUGGAGGGGCCCGCGUUGGAUUUGCUCGUGGGUGUGGUAAAAGCCCACCACGGCGACGAUCCAUAGCUGGUCUGAGAGGGUGUGCAGACACACUGGGACUGAGACACGGCCCAGACUCACACGGGAGGGAGCAGGGGGGAAUAUUGGAAAAUGGGAGAGAGCGUGAGACAGAAACGCCGGGGGGGUGAUGAAGGCAUUAGGGUUGUAAAGCUCUUUUACCAGGGAUGAUAAUGACAGUACCGGGAGAAUAAGCGCCGGCUAACUCCGUG
rnacentral:rRNA from 1 species